AGAGUUUGAUCCUGGCUCAGAACGAACGCUGGCGGCAGGCUUAACACAUGCAAGUCGAACGCAUCCUUCGGGGUGAGUGGCAGACGGGUGAGUAACGCGUGGGAACGUGCCCUUCAGUUCGGAAUAACCCAGGGAAACUUGGGCUAAUACCGGAUACGUGCGAGAGCAGAAAGAUUUAUCGCUGAAGGAUCGGCCCGCGUCUGAUUAGCUAGUUGGUGAGGUAAUGGCUCACCAAGGCGACGAUCAGUAGCUGGUCUGAGAGGAUGAUCAGCCACAUUGGGACUGAGACACGGCCCAAACUCCUACGGGAGGCAGCAGUGGGGAAUAUUGGACAAUGGGCGCAAGCCUGAUCCAGCCAUGCCGCGUGAGUGAUGAAGGCCUUAGGGUUGUAAAGCUCUUUCGUCCGGGACGAUAAUGACGGUACCGGAAGAAGAAGCCCCGGCUAACUUCGUGCCAGCAGCCGCGGUAAUACGAAGGGGGCUAGCGUUGUUCGGAAUCACUGGGCGUAAAGGGCGCGUAGGCGGCUUUGUAAGUCGGGGGUGAAAGCCUGUGGCUCAACCACAGAAUUGCCUUCGAUACUGCAUGGCUUGAGACCGGAAGAGGUUAGUGGAACUGCGAGUGUAGAGGUGAAAUUCGUAGAUAUUCGCAAGAACACCAGUGGCGAAGGCGGCUGACUGGUCCGGUUCUGACGCUGAGGCGCGAAAGCGUGGGGAGCAAACAGGAUUAGAUACCCUGGUAGUCCACGCCGUAAACGAUGAAUGCCAGCCGUUGGCGAGCUUGCUCGUCAGUGGCGCAGCUAACGCUUUAAGCAUUCCGCCUGGGGAGUACGGUCGCAAGAUUAAAACUCAAAGGAAUUGACGG
rnacentral:rRNA from 1 species